rnacentral:rRNA from 1 species
UAGUGGCGAACGGGUGAGUAACACGUGGGCAAUCUGCCCUGCACUCUGGGACAAGCCCUGGAAACGGGGUCUAAUACCGGAUACGAGUUUCACAGUGCAUCUGUGAUUCUGGAAAGCUCCGGCGGUGCAGGAUGAGCCCGCGGCUCUAUCAGCUUGUUGGUGAGGUAACGGCUCACCAAGGCGACGACGGGUAGCCGGCCUGAGAGGGCGACCGGCCACACUGGGACUGAGACACGGCCCAGACUCCUACGGGAGGCAGCAGUGGGGAAUAUUGCACAAUGGGCAGAAAGCCUGAUGCAGCGACGCCGCGUGAGGGAUGACGGCCUUCGGGUUGUAAACCUCUUUCAGCAGGGAAGAAGCGAGAGUGACGGUACCUGCAGAAGAAGCGCCGGCUAACUACGUGCCAGCAGCCGCGGUAAUACGUAGGGCGCAAGCGUUGUCCGGAAUUAUUGGGCGUAAAGAGCUCGUAGGCGGCUUGUCGCGUCGGUUGUGAAAGCCCGGGGCUUAACCCCGGGUCUGCAGUCGAUACGGGCAGGCUAGAGUUCGGUAGGGGAGAUCGGAAUUCCU